rnacentral:rRNA from 1 species
GACGAACGCUGGCGGCGUGCUUAACACAUGCAAGUCGAACGGAAAGGCCCUGCUUUUGUGGGGUGCUCGAGUGGCGAACGGGUGAGUAACACGUGAGUAACCUGCCCUUGACUUUGGGAUAACUUCAGGAAACUGGGGCUAAUACCGGAUAGGAGCUCCUGCUGCAUGGUGGGGGUUGGAAAGUUUCGGCGGUUGGGGAUGGACUCGCGGCUUAUCAGCUUGUUGGUGGGGUAGUGGCUUACCAAGGCUUUGACGGGUAGCCGGCCUGAGAGGGUGACCGGCCACAUUGGGACUGAGAUACGGCCCAGACUCCUACGGGAGGCAGCAGUGGGGAAUAUUGCACAAUGGGCGGAAGCCUGAUGCAGCAACGCCGCGUGCGGGAUGACGGCCUUCGGGUUGUAAACCGCUUUCGCCUGUGACGAAGCGUGAGUGACGGUAAUGGGUAAAGAAGCACCGGCUAACUACGUGCCAGCAGCCGCGGUGAUACGUAGGGUGCGAGCGUUGUCCGGAUUUAUUGGGCGUAAAGGGCUCGUAGGUGGUUGAUCGCGUCGGAAGUGUAAUCUUGGGGCUUAACCCUGAGCGUGCUUUCGAUGCGGGUUGACUUGAGGAAGGUAGGGGAGAAUGGAAUUCCUGGUGGAGCGGUGGAACGCGCAGAUAUCAGGAGGAACACCAGUGGCGAAGGCGGUUCUCUGGGCCUUUCCUGACGCUGAGGAGCGAAAGCGUGGGGAGCGAACAGGCUUAGAUACCCUGGUAGUCCACGCUGUAAACGGUGGGUACUAGGUGUGGGGUCCAUUCCACGGGUUCCGUGCCGUAGCUAACGCUUUAAGUACCCCGCCUGGGGAGUACGGCCGCAAGGCUAAAACUCAAAGGAAUUGACGGGGCCCCGCACAAGCGGCGGAGCAUGCGGAUUAAUUCGAUGCAACGCGUAGAACCUUACCUGGGUUUGACAUGGAUCGGGAGUGCUCAGAGAUGGGUGUGCCUCUUUUGGGGUCGGUUCACAGGUGGUGCAUGGCUGUCGUCAGCUCGUGUCGUGAGAUGUUGGGUUAAGUCCCGCAACGAGCGCAACCCUUGUUCACUGUUGCCAGCACGUUAUGGUGGGGACUCAGUGGAGACCGCCGGGGUCAACUCGGAGGAAGGUGGGGAUGACGUCAAGUCAUCAUGCCCCUUAUGUCCAGGGCUUCACGCAUGCUACAAUGGCUGGUACAGAGAGUGGCGAGCCUGUGAGGGUGAGCGAAUCUCGGAAAGCCGGUCUCAGUUCGGAUUGGGGUCUGCAACUCGACCUCAUGAAGUCGGAGUCGCUAGUAAUCGCAGAUCAGCAACGCUGCGGUGAAUACGUUCCCGGGGCU